AUGAGCUCAUACAUCUUCAUCUGGACACUGAUCAUCUUUAUUCAAGUUACAGAUUGUCAAGCUGAGAUCACAGUGAUUCAGACUCCAUCAGUGAAAUCUGUUACAGUAGGAGAGACGGUCACUCAGAAGUGUAAAACCAGCAGAGAUGUGGAUUGUUGUUACAGCAUCAGCGGUGGCAAAUCUGGUUCAGCUCUUAGUUGGUAUCAUCAGACACCUGGGGAAGCUCCUAAACUUCUGAUAUAUUUUACAAACACCCUUCAGUCUGGAACUCCAUCUAGAUUCAGUGGCAGUGGAUCUAAAACAGAUUUCACUCUGAGCAUCAGUGGAGUUCACACUAAAGAUGCAGGAGAUUAUUACUGUAUGAGUAGACACAGCAUCAGCGGUAGAUAUGUGUUCACACAGUGA